rnacentral:rRNA from 1 species
CCUACGGGCGGCAGCAGUGAGGAAUAUUGGUCAAUGGACGAGAGUCUGAACCAGCUAAGUAGCGUGAAGGAUGACUGCCCUAUGGGUUGUAAACAUCUUUUAUAUGGGAAUAAAACAGGGUAUGCAUACCCUCUUGUAUGUACCAUAUGAAUAAGGAACGGCUAACUUCGCGCCAGCAGCCGCGGUAAUACGGAGGGUACGAGCGUUACCCGGAUUUAUUGGGUUUAAAGGGAGCGUAGGUGGAUUGUUAAGGCAGUUGUGAAAGUUUGCGGCGCAACCGUAGAAUUGCAGUUGAAACUGGCAGUCUAGAGUGCAGUAGAGGUGGGCGGAAUUCGAAGUGUAGCGGUGAAAUGCUUAGAUAUCACGAAGAACUCCGAUUGCGAAGGCGGCUCACUGGACUGCAACUGACACUGAUGCUCGAAAGUGUGGGUAUCAAACAGGAUUAGAUACCCCAGUAGUC